rnacentral:lncRNA from 1 species
CUGACAUUUCCAUCAUGAGGAAACCCCAUGCAGGAAAUCCAGGAUAUGAGCUGAUACCCGACCCCACCUGUNNNNNNNNNNNNNNNNNNNNNNNNNNNNNNNNNNNUCCUUCCUUUUUGAAAAAUGUGCUUUCUGAGAUCUGCUGCUCAUGGGGACAAAGACCCUUUCUCCGUUUCUCCUGGCAACGACUCCCUGCUCAGGCUCAGUCCCCACACAGAACCGGGCUCUUUCUUUCCCACUGGUGAUAGCUAACAAACGUCAUCACAUGGCCCCUCCAUACUUCCAUUUCUCUCAGUCUCUCAACGGAACUUCCUUUGCAAAUGUUACGAGCCUCAGGUGCUUUAGUCUACAGCCCACAGCACAGCUUUUCACUUCAGAUUUUACAGCUUUUUCACUGUCUCUGAGUUUUGCUUUAGACUUAGUUUGAGUCUUUCCCCAGUCCCAUUCUAUUAAUACAUGAUUUCCAAGAUGAGAAUUAUAUUUGGUCCAAUCCACUGCUCAUCUUGGAAGCAGGAAAGAUUGCUUUAAAAUUGUUAAAUGUCAGCAAUGGAGAAUGUAGUGUCAAAAAGACUCACAAUGGUAUGAUGAAGACGUAAAUCUGUACAUAUUUUCUGAAAUAUGUCUGGAGUACCAUUUAUAACUUUAAACAUUUGAAUUCUCCUAGAAAAUUUUCNNNNNNNNNNNNNNNNNNNNNNNNNNNNNNNNNNNNNNNNNNNNNNNNNNNNNNNNNNNNNNNNNNNNNNNNNNNNNNNNNNNNNNNNNNNNNNNNNNNAUGUCUGGAGCACCAUUUAUAACUUUAAACAUUUGAAUUCUCCUAGAAAAUUUUCCUAAUAAAAAUUUCAAAAAUCUGGUCACAGAUUUAUUAAAAAAUUAUACUUACUGAAGUUCUCUUUUAAUAACUACAAGUUAAUGACAUUAUAAUAGGUUAAGAUAUAUUUAAAUUGAAGUAUUAUAUACACAUGAAAAUAAUAUCAACUUAUGUAAUAUCACAAGGAAAUGCCACAGUUUGCUGUUGAACAGACAAAAGUACAAGGCAAAUUUUCAAUAUUUUUUAUAUCAACCAUGUAGAAAAUAUAGCCCUGGAAAAAAUCAUGUAAUAAUCUGCCUCUUAGUUAUUGCAUUACUGGCAAUGUUUCUCUCACUUUAUGCUUUUCUGUACUCUUCACUCUUAUGAUAGUGAGCACAUGUUACUUUGAUAAUCAGAAAGAUAACAAAUAAAACAAAAAUCCUGAGAUGCUCUCCCACAGAUAAGAACAGCUCUUGCAGGCCUCCACAAACCAUCAAAAGGGUUGUUUUUAAGGACCCCAAAGGAAGCUGCUCUGCAUUUUUAUUAAGAAUCCCUAAACUCAAGAAACCACCUGCUCAAAAACUAGGAAUAAAAAAUUCCAAUAAACUGAAAGUACUUUUGUUAUGACUUUAAAACAACUGAGGGGAUAUUCCUGCUUACUUUCUUACAUAUUUCAAGUAUGAUUUCACUUAAUGAAAAGUCCCCUGGUUUUUGCCCCAGAAUUGAUCAUAAUGGAAUAUUUUUAAUAACAUGUCUAUUCAUUUUCAUAAACAGUGACAAUUUAGAGCUAUGUUGCUGUGACAACAAUGUCCCAAGUUAUUUUCCUCAACAUCUAAAGGACUCUCCAUCUUCUUCUUUGAGCCUGCAGUGGUAGCAACACAUAAAAUGUGUUUAUCUCUAAGACUGUCAGUAAGUUGCUUCUCAAGUUUAGGGAAUUCCUAAUGAAGAUUCUAGGAAACAGAGCAGUUUCAAAAAAACACAUGAAGUUAGAAGAUAUGUCUUAUUUUGUAGGCAAUUAUAAACAAAGGACAUUUUCUUCAUUCUUUUUCUUUCAAUUUAUACUUACUUGAUUAUUUAUUAUGCCAGAAAUGAUUGCAUAAGAAAGGAAUUACUUUUUUUCCCUCUUAGGAUUCUUGUAAAGGGUUUCACUUUUCAUAAACCCCUGUACUUACUCUACUGCCUAUUCUGAUCUGAACACAUGGUACAGAAAUUUUUCUAACAGAGUUAUAUAUUAUAACUCAAAGUAAAAUUAAAUCAUGUGUUCACUUUAUCAAAAAGAAGCUAGUUCCUUGGAUUUCCAUUUCUGUGACUUUAUUUUGUUUAGUUCUUGAGACUACUUGAUUUUACAUCGCUCUCACUUUUCAAAAGUUUCAAAUAGUCACUCUAGAACUCUAAUCUAUAUUAUUCUCUGAUCUCCUUACCUUUGUAAAAUCAUUCAGAGAUUGGAUCGCUGUAUUACCUUUAUUAUCUAAUUAUAAGUACAGUAGUUUGUUUUAAAUUGACUUAAUAAUAGAAAAAAAUGAGAGGCAGAAUUUCUUCAACUAAUAUGCCAAGGGUCAGAAAACUGACCCACAGGCCAAAUUUCACUUGCCAUUUGUUAAGUUUUGUUAGGAUAAAGCCAUUCCCAUCUAUGUCUAUACUUUCCCAAUACUUUCAGUAUAUAGUGGCAGAGUUGAGCAGUUGCAAGAGACAUCAUUUGGCUGGAAAAACCUAAAAUAUUUACCAUCUGGGUUUUUUCGGGAGAAAAUUUGCCUACCUCUGUUGUGUGCAAUGUUCUCUGUUCUCAGAAAAUGCUUUCAACCUUCUACGACAAAUGGCAUUUUAGUUUUUACUAAGAUGCCCACUUCUUAAAAAUCUCAGGUACAUCUAUUUGCAAUUUUUUACGGAAUCUCCACACUGUUCUCCAAAGUGGCUGUACUAGUUUGCAUUCCCAC